UACGUAGGGUGCAAGCGUUAAUCGGAAUUACUGGGCGUAAAGCGUGCGCAGGCGGUUAUAUAAGACCGUGGUGAAAUCCCCGGGCUCAACCUGGGAACUGCAUCUGUGACUGUGUAGCUAGAGUACGGUAGAGGGGGAUGGAAUUCCGCGUGUAGCAGUGAAAUGCAUAGAUAUGCGGAGGAACACCGAUGGCGAAGGCAAUCCCCUGGACCUGUACUGACGCUCAUGCACGAAAGCGUGGGGAGCAAACAGG
rnacentral:rRNA from 1 species